AAUCAUUGAUCGUUAAAAUGGUGCUUUUUAAGUUUCAGAUUCGACGUAGCAAAAUGUAAAAAAUCGUUGAA